CAGUAAAUAGUUUAUAAAAAUGUUAAUUUUGGAGAUUAAUGAUAGGCAUGAAUUGUGCUUUUUACUGA
rnacentral:tRNA from 1 species